rnacentral:rRNA from 1 species
GAAUCCUGACACAGGGAGGUAGUGACAAGAAAUAACAAUACAGGGCUACUUCUAGUCUUGUAAUUGGAAUGAGUACAACUUACAUCUCUUCACGAGGAUCAAUUGGAGGGCAAGUCUGGUGCCAGCAGCCGCGGUAAUUCCAGCUCCAAUAGCGUAUAUUAAAGUUGUUGCAGUUAAAAAGCUCGUAGUCGGAUUUCGGGGCGGGCCSAGCGGUCUGCCGAUGGGUAUGCACUGUUGGGCGCGUCCUUCUUUCCGGAGACCGCGCCUACUCUUAGCUGAGCGGGCGCGGGAGACGGAUCGUUUACUUUGAAAAAAUCAGAGUGUUUCAAGCAGGCAGCUCGCUCUUGCAUGGAUUAGCAUGGGAUAAUGAAAUAGGACUCUGGUGCUAUUUUGUUGGUUUCGAACACUGGAGUAAUGAUUAACAGGGACAGUCA